rnacentral:lncRNA from 1 species
CAUUAUUAUUAUUAUUAUUAUUAUUUAUUAUUAUUAUUAUUAUUUUUAUUGUUAUUAUUAUUAAGAGAGUGAGAAAAGUCUUCAACAUCUUGUGAAACAGUUCAGAGGAAUAGGACUGAGUAUGAAUACAAGGGAAAGAAAGUAUUGAACAAAAAAUAUCUAUAACAAUAAGUUAUUUCUUAUCUUUUAAAAAUAGAUAUGUAAGAAGCUCUUCUUGUUCGUAUACAGUAUCAGAAAUGGUACUCACAAGAACUUGAGGAGGCAUUUCCUUCAAAAUGGAAUAAAACCUAGGGUUCAUGGGAACACUGGUCGCAUUCCUUGUCAUGCUGUUUCUGUGGAAGGCAUUAAAGAUGUGGUAGCAUUUUUGGAGAACUAUGCUGAAGACUACGCCAUUUUACUACCUGGGAUGAUACCAAGAGUGAGGGAUUAUGGGAAAGCCAAGCUAUUGCCGUCCAGUGUGUCCCAACGCAUGGUUUACCGGCAGUAUGCUGAUGCUGGUAGGGAACAUACUCUCUGUGAAAGUUCCUUUAAAAGAAUAUGGAGAAAGUAUGUUCCCCACAUUUACAGCAUCAAGCCAAUGACGAACUUAUGCUGGACGUGCAAAAAGAACAGCACUGCAAUUUUAAGGAAUGCUGGGUGUGAGAUUGAGCAUCAGUCUGAGAAGAAAAGGAGACAACAUAGGGGUAAAUGGAAGCAUUGACGAGGUGGCGGGAGAGGAGCUGGAAGAGGAGGUGGCCAAGGAGGAGGAGAUGGACAAAAA